rnacentral:rRNA from 1 species
UACAGAGGGGGCAAGCGUUAUCCGGAAUGAUUGGGCGUAAAGGGUCCGCAGGUGGCAGUGUAAGUCUGCUGUCAAAGAAUGAGGCUUAACCUUAUCAAGGCAGUGGAAACUACACAGCUAGAGUACGGUCGGGGUAGAAGGAAUUCCUGGUGUAGCGGUGAAAUGCGUAGAGAUCAGGAAGAACACCGGUGGCGAAAGCGUUCUGCUAGACCUGUACUGACACUGAGGGACGAAAGCUAGGGGAGCGAAUGGG